rnacentral:ncRNA from 1 species
GGAAUUAUUGGGCGUAAAGCGUCUGUAGGUGGCUUUUUGAGUCCGCCGUCAAAUCCCAGGGCUCAACCCUCGACAGGAGUGGAAACUACCAAGCUGGAGUACGGUAGGGACAGAGGAAAUUUCUGGUGGAGCAGUGAAAUGCGUAGAGAUCGGGAAGAACACCAAUGGCGAAAGCACUCUGUAAAAAAAGAAUAUUGAGACAGUUAUGAAUUCCAUC